AAGCGGCAAGAGCUCAAAUUUGAAAGCUGGCUCUUCGGAGCUCCGCAUUGUAAUUUGCAGAGGAUGCUUUGGGUGCGGCCCCCGUCUAAGUGCCCUGGAACGGGCCGUCAGAGAGGGUGAGAAUCCCGUCUUGGGCGGGGUGUCCGUGCCCGUGUAAAGCUCCUUCGACGAGUCGAGUUGUUUGGGAAUGCAGCUCUAAAUGGGUGGUAAAUUUCAUCUAAAGCUAAAUACUGGCCGGAGACCGAUAGCGCACAAGUAGAGUGAUCGAAAGAUGAAAAGCACUUUGAAAAGAGAGUUAAACAGCACGUGAAAUUGUUGAAAGGGAAGCGCUUGCGACCAGACUCGCCCCGCGGGGUUCAGCCGGCAUUCGUGCCGGUGUACUUCCCCGUGGGCGGGCCAGCGUCGGUUUGGGCGGCCGGUCAAAGGCCCCUGGAAUGUAGUACCCUCCGGGGUACCUUAUAGCCAGGGGUGCAAUGCGGCCAGCCUGGACCGAGGAACG
rnacentral:rRNA from 1 species